AAUUCGAAGCAACGCGAAGAACUUACCAGGCCUUGACAUGCAGAGAACUUUCCAGAGAUGGAUUGGUGCCUUCGGGAACUCUGACACAGGUGCUGCAUGGCUGUCGUCAGCUCGCGUCGUGAGAUGUUGGGUUAAGUCCCGUAACGAGCGCAACCCUUGUCCUUAGUUACCAGCACGUUAUGGUGGGCACUCUAAGGAGACUGCCGGUGACAAACCGGAGGAAGGUGGGGAUGACGUCAAGUCAUCAUGGCCCUUACGGCCUGGGCUACACACGUGCUACAAUGGUCGGUACAAAGGGUUGCCAAGCCGCGAGGUGGAGCUAAUCCCAUAAAACCGAUCGUAGUCCGGAUCGCAGUCUGCAACUCGACUGCGUGAAGUCGGAAUCGCUAGUAAUCGUGAAUCAGAAUGUCACGGUGAAUACGUUCCCGGGCCUU
rnacentral:rRNA from 1 species